GACCGCUGCAGUGGUCAGAGCGUUCGCCUCAGAUGCGGGAGGUCGCGGGUUUGAAUGCCGGCUGAGUCA